AUUGAACGCUGGCGGCAGGCUUAACACAUGCAAGUCGAGCGGGGUGAUGGUGCUUGCACUAUCACUUAGCGGCGGACGGGUGAGUAAUGCUUAGGAAUCUGCCUAUUAGUGGGGGACAACAUCUCGAAAGGGAUGCUAAUACCGCAUACGUCCUACGGGAGAAAGCAGGGGAUCACUUGUGACCUUGCGCUAAUAGAUGAGCCUAAGUCGGAUUGGCUAGUUGGUGGGGUAAAGGCCUACCAAGGCGACGAUCUGUAGCGGGUCUGAGAGGAUGAUCCGCCACACUGGGAAUGAGACACGGCCCAGACUCCUACGGGAGGCAGCAGUGGGGAAUAUUGGACAAUGGGGGGAACCCUGAUCCAGCCAUGACGCGUGUGUGAAGAAGGCCUUAUGGUUGUAAAGCACUUUAAGCGAGGAGGAGGCUCUUUUGGUUAAUACCCAAGAUGAGUGGACGUUACUCGCAGAAUAAGCACCGGCUAACUCUGUGCCAGCCGCCGCCGUAA
rnacentral:rRNA from 1 species